UACAUAGGGUGCGAGCGUUAUCCGGAAUUAUUGGGUGUAAAGGGUGCGUAGAUGGGGAAACAAGUUGGUUGUGAAAUCCCUCGGCUUAACUGAGGAACUGCAACCAAAACUAUAUCUCUUGAGUGCUGGAGGGGAAAGAGGAAUUCCUAGUGUAGCGGUGAAAUGCGUAGAUAUUAGGAGGAACACCGGUGGCGAAGGCGUCUUUCUGGACAGUAACUGACAUUGAGGCACGAAAGUGUGGGGAG
rnacentral:rRNA from 1 species